GACUUAUUUGGCGUAUCGAGAAUUCGUCUCGUGGUGUCAAUCCUUCCUUGUUAUCCCGAACUUAUCACCUUUGUUGGUGUGGUGUUCAAAACUAUACCAAGGUUCCUAUCUUCCAUAGAUAAUGGGUCGAGGUUUAUUUUCAUUUUAUCUUUCCAUUUCAACUAUUCUAUCAUUUCUACUAUCAACUACAACCUAAGUGCCAUUUUUGAGACUCGGGUCAACAAUCUUAAUAUUGUUGGUUCAUUCUCUGGCCUUAGCCAUUUCUCC
rnacentral:lncRNA from 1 species